rnacentral:rRNA from 1 species
UGUCGGGUAAGUUCCGACCCGCACGAAAGGCGUAACGAUUUGGGCACUGUCUCAACAACAGACUCGGUGAAAUUGUAAUUCCGGUGAAGAUGCCGGAUACCUGCGACAGGACGGAAAGACCCCAUGGAGCUUUACUGUAGCUUGACAUUGGGUCUUGGUACUACAUGUACAGGAUAGGUGGGAGGCUUUGAAACCAGGACGCCAGUUUUGGCGGAGCCAUCCUUGGGAUACCACCCUUGUAGUACUGGGACUCU